rnacentral:lncRNA from 1 species
AGGGAGGGAUUGCUGGAGUGGAAACAUGGCAAGAACCGGAAAGAGCUCAAGAUUUUGCUACUACCUUGCUAAUAAAUUUGUGAGGUAAUUCAGCUAGCUACAUGUGUAUUUGUUUCUGCUAUACCAAGGUCAUUAUUCUGAUUUAGAAAAUAGAAACAUGAAUUCUGAUUUAAGAGUCUAAUAGCAAAUGUUGGUAGCAUUAAUAGAAUGUGCAUUGUACGCACAAGCUAAUAGUAGAGUUUAAUUCUUCUCAAGUAGCGGUUGUUGAUGUAGACUUGAACUAAUUAAUAAGGUAGGUAUCAAGUAGUGAUAUCGUCCACAAUCGAUGGACGACUAAUAUUCUUGAGCAGGCUCACAGAGCGAGAGACGAACCUGGGCUGACCGGGACCCUUCUAAAACUGUUGUAUAUCUAUGAUUCUGAUCUGUAUAAAAGAACUACAUAGGAUCAUUUUUGUUCUUAUUUUUAAGACAUGCAUGAUCAUCCUAGGCAUUUUGCUGACAAGUAAAAACCUGAAACUAAUUUCUAUUUAACAUAAACUCUAAUAUCUAUACUAUACAGGCAUUUUAGACAUGUAUAUUGGCUCACCAACAAUUUGUCUUCUGUUGAAAUGAAUGGUAACACUUGAUUUUAAAUUUCCUAAAUCUUUAUUAUUCUUCUGUUGCAAUAUAAUAUAACGAGGCAUGGUCAGCAGGAAACCUAAUUCUCCGUGAACAUGCGCAAAAGAGUCAACUUUUAGUUCUUUUAGAAUUUUUGUUCUUUCCUUAGAGUUCAUGAGAAUUAUUUGUAGACGGUGUUGUGAUGCUCCAGUACUUGUGUGAUGAUAUUCUUCUGACUCUUGCAAUGUCCUAUGCUGACAAAUACAAAUGCUCUGCUCUAUUUGAUGCUAUAAUUGUUCAUUUUGAAUCCAUUGCCUCUUUGUAAUGGUAAACCAGAGUCCCUUGACAGUUCGUUGGUCAUCUUCUUCUCAUGACAGAACUGGCAAGAUGUCAUGAUGGAACAAUAUCUUUUCUGCAUGUAGUAAAUUAUUUUCUUAUUAGUUUAGAUCCGUUAACUGCACUAUAUUUUUAGGAGGUGUCACACUAAGAAUUUCAUAGUUGGAUUUUGAUGUUCCAGGUUGCUUUAUGGAAGUAUUUAUAGGCUUGCCAUGACAAGGUAUUUUAUUAGUUUGUUAUCUCCCUUUCCAUAGACUUUUUACAUUCUACUCUGGUUAUUAAGUACGUAUACAUAUAAAGUGUGCUCUAUUGCUUAACUAAAUUCUGGACUUCAGGUAUACUACCUGACAAUGCACCCCGUGUUGAUAAAAAUAACAUUGGGAUGCACCACAUACAGAUUCACAAAGUUUAGGUCUGUUUCCUUGGAGAUUCACAAACAAGUGAUGUAGAAUUGGAAAAUAGUGAUGUAGAAUUGAUCCGAAUUUUAAACAGACCUGCACCUGGGUUUUUAACUGCCUUUUCUGUAUCUUAUUCUUUUACAG